rnacentral:rRNA from 1 species
UACGUAGGGGGCGAGCGUUGUCCGGAUUUAUUGGGCGUAAAGAGCGUGUAGGCGGUCCGGUAAGUCCGCUGUGAAAGUCGGGGGCUCAACCCUCGAAUGCCGGUGGAUACUGUCGGGCUAGAGUGCGGAAGAGGCGAGUGGAAUUCCUGGUGUAGCGGUGAAAUGCGCAGAUAUCAGGAGGAACACCAAUGGCGAAGGCAGCUCGCUGGAACGGUACUGACGCUGGAGGCGACGAAAGCGUGGGGAGCGAACAGG